CCUACGGGAGGCUGCAGUGAGGAAUAUUGGUCAAUGGGCUUACGCCUGAACCAGCCAAGUCGCGUGAGGGAAGACUGCCCUAUGGGUUGUAAACCUCUUUUGUCAGGGAGCAACGCCGGCUACGUGUAGCCGGACUGAGAGUACCUGAAGAAAAAGCAUCGGCUAACUCCGUGCCAGCAGCCGCGGUAAUACGGAGGAUGCGAGCGUUAUCCGGAUUUAUUGGGUUUAAAGGGUGCGUAGGCGGAAUGCCAAGUCAGCGGUAAAAUGGCGGGGCUCAACCUCGCUCCGCCGUUGAAACUGGCGUUCUUGAGUGGGAGAGAAGUAUGCGGAAUGCGUGGUGUAGCGGUGAAAUGCAUAGAUAUCACGAAGAACUCCGAUUGCGAAGGCAGCAUACCGGCGCCAAACUGACGCUGAAGCACGAAAGCGUGGGGAUCGAACAGGAUUAGAUACCCGGGUAGUC
rnacentral:rRNA from 1 species